AAUGCGUGCUCCAUGGCCGCCCAGGCCAAGGACUUGGUAUUGCCUCAGAAACCUGUCCUGAUGAAGGGUCUCAGCCUGAAACGUCAAGGGUUCACUCUUUUCCAUGGAUGCUGCCUGGCCUGCUGAGUUCCCCCAGCACUUUAUGUGUUGCCUUAAAGUAAGAUCAUUGGUUCUGGGACACAUCUCAAUCGAUAAGGAAGUACUGCAGUGGGGGCUCUCAACUCACAGGUAGGAGGGGCUGUCCCCCACGGUUAGAUGUUUCUUCUAGCUCAACCCAGCGUCAUCUAGAGACCCCAGCCUUGGAAUCACAACUUCGUUACCUUUUUUUUAUUAUUCGUGUUUCUUGGCUAUUAUUUGUUCAGAGAGUAGAUCGAUUAAGUUGUAUUCUGCAAAUUUCAAUGAUAUACUAACAGAUAAAUACACAUGGCUAAGGACAAGGUAAAAUUCAUUUCUUUUAAUGUCAAUGGGCUGUUGAAUCCAAUCAAAC